rnacentral:piRNA from 1 species
UAGCAGCCUGUGGGACUGGGCAG